UACGUAGGGCGCAAGCGUUGUCCGGAAUUAUUGGGCGUAAAGAGCUCGUAGGCGGCUUGUCACGUCGAUUGUGAAAGCCCGAGGCUUAACCUCGGGUCUGCAGUCGAUACGGGCUAGCUAGAGUGUGGUAGGGGAGACUGGAAUUCCUGGUGUAGCGGUGAAAUGCGUAGAGAUCAGGAGGAACACCUGUGGUGUAGACAGCUUACUGGACGAUAACUGACGCUGAGGCACGAAAGCGUGGGUAGCAAACAGG
rnacentral:rRNA from 1 species